rnacentral:rRNA from 1 species
UAAAGGGAGCGUAGACGGGAUGUUAAGUCAGUUGUGAAAGGCUGCGGCUCAACCGCAGCACUGCAGUUGAUACUGGCGUCCUUGAGUGCGGUUGAGGUAUGUGGAAUUCGUGGUGUAGCGGUGAAAUGCUUANAUAUCACGAAGAACUCCGAUUGCGAAGGCAGCAUACUAAGCCGCUACUGACGUUGAGGCUCGAAAGUGUGGGUAUCAAACAGGAUUAGAUACCCUGGUAGUCCACACGGUAAACGAUGAAUACUCGCUGUUGGCGAUAUACAGUCAGCGGCCAAGCGAAAGCAUUAAGUAUUCCACCUGGGGAGUACGCCGGCAACGGUGAAACUCAAAGGAAUUGACGGGGGCCCGCACAAGCGGAGGAACAUGUGGUUUAAUUCGAUGAUACGCGAGGAACCUUACCCGGGCUUAAAUUGCACUGGACAGUCCCAGAGAUGGGAUUUUCUUCGGACCAGUGUGAAGGUGCUGCAUGGUUGUCGUCAGCUCGUGCCGUGAGGUGUCGGCUUAAGUGCCAUAACGAGCGCAACCCUUGCCAUUAGUUACUAACAGGUUAUGCUGAGGACUCUAGUGGGACUGCCAUCGUAAGAUGUGAGGAAGGUGGGGAUGACGUCAAAUCAGCACGGCCCUUACGUCCGGGGCUACACACGUGUUACAAUGGGAGGUACAGAAGGCUGCUACCCGGCGACGGGAUGCCAAUUCCCAAAACCUCUCUCAGUUCGGAUUGGAGUCUGCAACCCGACUCCAUGAAGCUGGA